AUACAAAUUGAUAAUAGGUUAGGUAAAUGUUCCAUGAUAAUGGGUUAGGUAAAUGUUUCAUGAUAAUAGGUUAGGUAAAUGUUCCAUGAUAAUGGGUUAGGUAAAUGUUUCAUGAUAAUGGGUUAGGUAAAUGUUUCAUGAUAAGAAUAUCAUGUCUUUUGUAUUAAAGAAUUAAAUGGAUGAAAUAUGAAGUUUUAUUAAAAGAAAAAGGGGUGAAAAGAACAAAGUUUUGUCUAUCUUUGUUCAUCAUAGCUGAAAGUUAGAGAAGAGAAAGGAGAGGAGAAAGCUCUUGAGUAUUCGGUCAUUAGGAGAAGGAAAAUUUAAGGCGGUUCGUGUGUGGAUCUCGUCAGCAUAUCGUCGCAAACAGGUGUGUAACUAACACCCUCUUUCUUAGUCUGGAUCGGCAAAAGUCGAAAAGCCGAAAUGCCGAAAUGCCGAAAACCGGUAUUUUGUAGAUUUGCGAGUGUGCGAAUGCUCGUAAGGAAAUCCCCAACCAUAGUGGGCUUGGAGCUGUGAGGGAAUUCGGAGUGGCCACCUGUUCUGAAAGUUUGAUUUUCUUCUGGUGAACUGGACAUCCUUUUAAUUACGUUUGAGGUUUUGGGCUUUUAAAUGUAAUAAGGCUGCUUAUUUAUUUUUGAUGGUUUUAAUAUGUAUUACUAAGAUAGGUAAUACUUAUUUUAA